UACGGGGGGGGCAAGCGUUGUUCGGAAUUACUGGGCGUAAAGGGCGCGUAGGCGGUUUGCUAAGUUGGAUGUGAAACUCUGGGCUUAACCCAGAGCCUGCAUCCAAAACUGGCAAACUUGAGUACUGGAGGGGAAAGCGGAAUUCCUGGUGUAGCGGUGAAAUGCGUAGAUAUCAGGAGGAACACCGGUGGCGAAGGCGGCUUCUGGACAGUAACUGACGCUGGAGGCGCGAAAGCCUAGGGGAGCAAACAGG
rnacentral:rRNA from 1 species